GAUGAACGCUGGCGGCGUGCUUAAUACAUGCAAGUCGAGCGGACAGACGAGGUGCUUGCUCCUCUGGCGUUAACGGCGGACGGGUGAGUCAUACGUGGCUAACCUACCUCUAAGACUUGGAUAACUUAGGGAAACCGGACUUAAUACCGGAUAUUAUACAGAACAGCAUGGGUCUAUAGUGAAAUACGUUUUUGCUGUCACUUAUGCAUGCAACCGCGCCGCUUUAGCUAUUUUGUAAGAGAACGGCUUACCACGGCAACGAUGCGUAGCGGACCUGAGAGCGAGGACGGCCACACGGGAACUGAGACACGGUCCACACUCCUACGGGAGGCAGCAGUAGGGAAUCUUCCGCAAUGGACGAAAGCCGGACGGAGCAACGCCGCGGGAGUGAUGAAGGUCUUCGGAUCUGAGAGCGCUGUUAUUAUGAAGGAUGAAAAGUGCAUGUAACUAUGCAGGUCUUGACGGUACCUGAAGAAGAAGCCCCGGCUAACUACGUG
rnacentral:rRNA from 1 species